CGUCUCCUGCGGUGUUCGAUACUGACCUGGAAACCCCUCGACCCUAAAUCUCUACCUCGGGGCCGCGUACUGUCGGUAGCAUGUGUGCAUGACCACCUCGGUGGAAAGCCUUUUGUUAUCACGGCUGGCCCCACCUUGUUGCUCCGGUUCGAGAGCGACGGAAGGUAACGGCACAGGCGGGAGACGU
rnacentral:other from 2 species